GACUCCUACGGGAGGCAGCAGUGGGGAAUCUUGCGCAAUGGGCGAAAGCCUGACGCAGCGACGCCGCGUGAGGGAUGACGGCCUUCGGGUUGUAAACCUCUUUCAGCCCUGACGAAGCGAAAGUGACGGUAGGGGCAGAAGAAGCACCGGCCAACUACGUGCCAGCAGCCGCGGUAAUACGUAGGGUGCAAGCGUUGUCCGGAAUUAUUGGGCGUAAAGAGCUCGUAGGCGGUCUGUCGCGUCGGCUGUGAAAACUCGGGGCUCAACUUCGAGCUUGCAGUCGAUACGGGCAGGCUAGAGUUCGGCAGGGGAGACUGGAAUUCCUGGUGUAGCGGUGAAAUGCGCAGAUAUCAGGAGGAACACCGGUGGCGAAGGCGGGUCUCUGGGCCGAUACUGACGCUGAGGAGCGAAAGCGUGGGGAGCGAACAGGAUUAGAUACCCUGGUAGUCCACGCCGUAAACGUUGGGCGCUAGGUGUGGGAUCCCUUCCACGGGUUCCGUGCCGCAGCUAACGCAUUAAGCGCCCCGCCUGGGGAGUACGGCCGCAAGGCUAAAACUCAAAGGAAUUGACGGG
rnacentral:rRNA from 1 species